rfam:Schistosoma haematobium scaffold459_15, whole genome shotgun sequence.
AUCCGGCUGACGAGUUCCAAGUGGAACGUAACGCGAGUCCUGGAU